AUGACGAUGACAGGAAGACAGAAAAUUCUAUUUUUCGACGAGGUGUUAUAUUCAAUUUGCACUUCAUAGGAGAGUGACAAAGAAAGAAUGAACAAAUCUAUUUUUAACUGUCUUCAUCCAAGAAACGGAUAUAAAUAUCUCAUCUGUGUUGCAGCCUUAUAGAUCAUUUGAUCACCCCCGUUUUGGGAAGAGAGAAUAUUGUUUAUUCUAAUGACAGCAAUUGGAUUUUGUGUUCAUUUUUAGACAAAAGAAUACUUUUAAAUUGACUUUUCUUUUAUUGAGUCACUCAAAAGUUUUGGAGAUGGGAGCAGUGUUAUUUUAUGUUAAGACAAAGUCAUUUAAAAAUACUUUUUUUUCUCCAUCUGAGUGCACCGACACUAAAAGUUACAUAAACUUCCUAUUUCAACAUUUUCAUGGCCACUUGUUGCUUAGCAGUCUUCAUGGGACUUCUGCCUAGCAACACGUCUCUCUCCAAGCCCAUUUUAAAAUAAACUUUUCCCUUUUUGAAUUAUGCUGUGUCAUUAUUCACUUGGAGCCAGAGGGCUUCCCUGCCCCGUACAGCACAGAACGAACACCGUUCUGCUUCUUGCACCACAGGGCCAGCAGCUAGGUGUGGUGGCGCACCGCUCCAGUUCAGUUCCCUUUGAAAUGACGCGGGAUGCGAUCUGGAUGGUGGAGAGGCUUUCCGAAAAAUCCGCCGGCGAGGCCGAGAUGUGAGCGAUCAUGGUGGUGCGGCAGUUCAUGUUGCCUAGCGACUCCCUCAGCAACAUGGGCCAGGAUCACGUUGCCGAGAGCUGACAGGGAAAGGCAAAGAGGUGCCGAGCUGGGCGAAGAAUUUUCCCUGCCUUUCCCCACCGC